rnacentral:rRNA from 1 species
GAUUAACGCUGGCGGCGUGCAUAACACAUUCAAGUCGAACGAACUAGAAGGCUUCGGUCUUUUGGUUAGUGGCGGACGGGUGAGUAACGCGUGAGCAAUCUACCUUCCAGUACGGAAUAACAACCGGAAACAGUUGCUAAUACCGUAUGAAAUGGCAGUCCCGCAUGAGACAACCAUAAAAGGCUUGCUGCUGGAAGAUGAGAUUGCGUCCGAUUAGAUAGUUGGCGGGGUAGCGGCCCACCAAGUCGACGAUCGGUAGCCGGACUGAGAGGUUGAACGGCCACAUUGGAACUGAGAUACGGUCCAGACUCCUACGGGAGGCAGCAGUGGGGAAUAUUGGGCAAUGGGCGAAAGCCUGACCCAGCGACGCCGCGUGAGGGAAGAAGAUCUUCGGAUUGUAAACCUUAGUCAACAGGGAAGAAGAAAGUGACGGUACCUGUGGAGGAAGCCACGGCUAACUACGUGCCAGCCGCCGCUGUAACAC